rnacentral:snoRNA from 1 species
AAGCACUGUCUUUUGAACCUGUGAAACCCUCUCUAUGGCUUCAUAGGCCAAGCUACAGCUUUGAGAGCUUGUUAUAACUUGGGUUUCUUGGCUCUUUCACAAAGUCUCUUUUAAAAGCAUUUUACAGCU